GGUAUUUUGACUAUACGAAGGUAUUGAAAUAAGGCUUUAAUUGGGUGCUAAGAGAAUGGUUGAACAAAGAUUAACUUUCUUUUUAUUUAUAAUAGAAUUUGAUUUGAAAAUGAAAAAGUUUUUAUAAAAAUUUGGGACAAGAAGACCCUAUGAAUUUUUUUUAUAAUUUUAUUUAUAAUUUUUGAUUAAUGGAGUUAAAUGGAAUUUUAAGUUGGUUGGGGUGAUUUUUAAAGAAUGUUUAUCUUUAAAAGUAGGGACUAGAACCAGGAUUCUUGGUUGAUUGAGUAAAAUACUCUAGGGAUAACAGCGUUAUUAUUUUGGAUAGUUCAUAUAGAUAAAAUAGUUUGCGACCUCGAUGUUGGAUUAAGAUACUUUUUUAAUGUAGUCGUUAAAGGAAGGAGUUUGCUCAACUUUUGAAAUCUU
rnacentral:rRNA from 1 species